ensembl:snRNA U6 U6 spliceosomal RNA
UCAUGCUUACUUCAAGAAUAUACUAAAAUUGUAAGGAUACAGAGAAGAUUAGCAUGGCCCCUGCACAAAAGACUCUCAUGCCUGAGACUCAAGGUCCCAGGUU